UUAUGCCCUGUCGAACAACCGCAGUUCGACAGGUACCCUGUCGAAUUAUGGUUGUUUGAUAUGUCCCCCUGUCAAACUGUGGAUAUUUGACAGGGCA
rnacentral:pre_miRNA from 2 species